GGGAAGGUGGCUCAGUGGUAGAGUGCUUGCCUUGUAUGCAUGAGGCCCUGGAUUCGAUUCCUUAGUACCCA
rfam:Dipodomys ordii contig_72546, whole genome shotgun sequence.